AAAGAGUGAAAAUGAAAAAGAUGAAACCAGAAUGAAAAAAGUAAAAAAAGAACAAAAAUAUAAGUUAUAAAAAAAUAUAUUUUAUGAAUUUUCAUAAAGAAAUCUUGACAAAUAUUCAUAAAAAUCUAAUAAAUUUUAUUCGUUGUUUGAACUGUACUAUGCAUACAACGUAUAUUUUUUUCUAUUAGUUUCAACUUUUGCCAACUACGGCGCAGCAAUCAAUUUUAGAAUAUACUAAUGAAAAUGAACAAUAAUAAUACUAAUUCUUAAUACAUCGCCGAGGCUAUUCUCAGUCAAUAAUGGAAAAAAUAAACGCGAAUGCGUAAAUUGAAAGCGUGAAAAAUUUAAAGUCAAUACAUUGAAGAGAAUACCAGCUUGUAAAAUUUUCAAAAUAACUUAUAUACAUCCUCGAUCCUUCGUUUAUUAACCUUAAAAAUUUUAUCUUAAAAUCUUUAUUAUUAUUGUCCGUUCGAUCCUCAUUUAUAUUUCAAUUAAAAAUGGAGGCGGAAUACGAAAUGAAGGCUUCUUAAUUCUUAAAAUGUAGAAAAUAUACGUUUCAUCGGUCGAAGCCGACGUAAUAUUGACAUUCGAAUAAUCGUAUUCCGCGAUGUUUCAAAUAGCAGCAAGAAGUGUUUUAGGAUGCUCGUUAGCUUAAUGAGUGUCGAGCUCUGAACAAGUAACGCUAAUCGGUAACGGAGUUUCUCGUUAUCGUUCGUUUUCCGGGGAACUAGAUCGUUAUGGCGGCUAACUAAUUUAACUCGUUCACUAGGUCACUUGUUCGCAAGAAAAACUGGAAAGGGAGCGGGCGCAUGGAUUUUUUCCCACGAUUUUUCCUUUUGUUUCCGCUUUUUUAAAAGUCCGCUUUCUAUCGAUACAAAACGGAACAGGGAGUGUAAUUGAAAGCUUAAAAGCGGUACGAAAUUAAACGGUGCAACUAAAUGUGAAUUUAUUGUGUUCGAAUUUUUGCCCCCGAUAGACGGUUAUACACUUGUAAUCCGAAGGUUCAAAGCAAUUUGAUCAUUUUCUGCUUUGAAUUGCGAUUUAAAAUUAUAUUUAAUUCGACACAAAGGGUUAUUCUCGUUUGGAAAUUCGAAAAAUUGUUAAAUUUGCAUGAUUUGACGCUUCACGAGAAAUAAUGGAGUGUUGAAAAUGUGAAAUGAAAAUUUUAUUAUAUUAAAAGUCCUUAAUGCGGGGAUGGAUAAUAAUAUGCACUACUCGAAAUUUUUUAAAAAAUUAAAAAACGAACACAAAUCAAAAGUCAUCUUAAGAGUCGUACAAUGGGCAACCAACUGAAAGCAGUUUCAG